rnacentral:rRNA from 1 species
CGUCUAUAUACGUAUAGCAUAUCAAUAAGCGGAGGAAAAGAAACUAACAAGGAUUCCCUUAGUAACGGCGAGUGAAGCGGGAAGAGCUCAAAUUUGAAAUCUUCAAGGUUUUACCUUGACGAAUUGUAGUUUAAAGAAGUGUUUUCUGUUGAAGUUUUGGUAAAAGUUCUUUGGAAUAGGACAUCAUAGAGGGUGAGAAUCCCGUAUUUGACCAUUAUUUUCAGCUGUGUGAUACACUUUCAAAGAGUCGGAUUGUUUGGGAAUGCAGUCCAAAAUGGGUGGUAAAUUUCAUCUAAAGCUAAAUAUUGGCGAGAGACCGAUAGCGAACAAGUACCGUGAGGGAAAGAUGAAAAGAACUUUGAAAAGAGAGUUAAACAGUACGUGAAAUUGUCAAAAGGGAAGCGUUUGACACCAGUGUCGUUUUUCCGAAAAUCAAUUACGAAUGGCUUGAUUUUGUGUUGUAUCUGACCUUAUCAGCUUUCUGCACUUUUUUCGAGUCUUUCUUAAUGCACUUUUCGGUUAACAAGUCAACAUCAAUUUCUUUUGUUGUAAAAGGAGUAUGCGGAAGGUGGCUUUCUUUUCGGAGAAAGUGUUUAUAGCCCUAUACUUCUACAAUCGGAGAGAUUGAGGUCUGCAGCGUAGAUCCUUCGGGGUUAGAUACAUUUGUGCUAAGUUGUAGCUUUUCAUAGACAACUUGUUGACUAUGUUUAGUCAUGCGGCUUACUCGCUUAUGCUAUUUUACCUACGCUUAGGAUGUUGACUGAUAUGUAGUCGUA